rnacentral:lncRNA from 1 species
CCCAUUCUACGUCCCUGGCACGAUGUAAGAGAAAGUCCAGGUUGUACCCAUUCUACGUCCCUGGCACAUUGGAAUGUUAUGAUAUGUUAUGUUAAGAGAAAGACCGGUUGACCCAUUCUACGUCCCGGCACUUUGGAAUGUAGAGGACUAUUGGUGACAAUACCAUCCGUGAUGUGAUUUGUCUGUGAUGUGUUGCAUUCCAUUAUGGCAUAUAAUUUAAAUGUUUUUAUUAUUCUGCUCACUGGGCUCUAGUAGCUCACCCCUCUCCCUAAUCCC